UUGGAGGGCAAGUCUGGUGCCAGCAGCCGCGGUAAUUCCAGCUCCAAUAGCGUAUAUUAAAGUUGUUGCAGUUAAAAAGCUCGUAGUUGAAUUUCGGGGUUCAUACGUUGGUCGGGCUUUUUGGUCUGUACUUAUGUAAUGGAUUCCUACCUUCUGAAUAACCGGCAUGCCAUUAAUUUGGUGCGCCGGGGAAGCAGGACUGUUACCUUGAAAAAAUUAGAGUGCUUAAAGCAGGCUAUCGCCUGAAUACAUUAGCAUGGAAUAAUGAAAUAGGACGGCAUGGUUCUAUUUUGUUGGUUUCUAGGAUCACCGUAAUGAUUAAUAGGGAUAGUUGGGGGCAUUAGUAUUCAAUUGUCAGAGGUGAAAUUCUUGGAUUUAUUGAAGACUAACUUCUGCGAAAGCAUUUGCCAAGGAUGUUUUCAUUAAUCAAGAACGAAAGUUAGGGGAUCGAAGACGAUCAGAUACCGUCGUAGUCUUARCCAUAAACUAUGCCGACUAGGGAUCGGACGAUGUUAAUUUUUUAAUGACUCGUUCGGCGCCUUACGGGAAAC
rnacentral:rRNA from 1 species